UAUAGAAUUUUAUCUAUUCACAUUAAUUUGUUUAAAACUGUUUAGAAAAAAAGUCGAUUUAACGCGAGUUAUUAAUUUUGUCCAGCUAGAUUCGUGAUUGGCCACACUGUGCACUGGUGGGAAAAAUAAGCAACUACAUAUACACAUAAAAAAUCAGAAGUCAUAAGAAUACAUUUGUUUUUCAUUCAGCAUUCAAGUUUUUCCCCAAAAACUUAGUCACAAUCAGAAAAAAGGAGAAAUAAAAGAGAUCCAUUUGAUGGCUCUAUUCUAUCAAGUGCAGAAUAAUCUUCUACUGGUUGUCGUCAAAGCACAGAAGGUACUGCAAAGGUCAACAUUUUCAGCAUCUUCAUCAACGGCUAUGUUUCCAACUAUCAUAUUAAUUUGCUCUUCAUGAUUAGUGC